rnacentral:tRNA from 1 species
UGUUCAACUACAAAAACGCUA